UCAUGCCCGGCUCGUCCGCUCCUCCUGUGUGCCACGCCCCCUGCUUACCCACGUGUGUUUCCCGGAUCGUACCCAGCUGUGUCCGUUUGCUUUCAAUCAGUCUUGUGUAUUUAAGUCCUGGUCUCCCCAGUUUUCCUUGUCUGUCAUUGAUGUUCGUUGGCGUGAGUAGAUGUUCCCCGUAUCUGUUUCCUGUCCACGAAUAAAUCCCCAGUAUUUCCCGACUUUGCCUACUUGCCUGUUCCUGCUCGCCUGCCGACCCGCACGAUCGCUGCUUCGCCCGACCGCGGUCGUGACACAGAUGAAAAGAACAGUGAUAUAUCAAAAGUGGAAUGGUCACGCAAGCAAUGCAAUGACGAGGACACACUGAAUUACGCUGCCCUGAACCUUAAGAAGCCAAAACCCAGGAGACAGAAGAAAGACGGGAAUAAUGACACUCUGUAUUCUGA